rnacentral:rRNA from 1 species
AUUGAACGCUAGCGGCAUGCUUUACACAUGCAAGUCGAACGAGUGGCGGACGGGUGAGUAACAUAUCGGCACGUGCCCAGUAGCGGGGGAUAACUACUCGAACGAGUGGCUAAUACCGCCUACUAUUGGAUCGGCCGUUAUUCGAGUAGCUCGUUGGUGGGGUAAAGGCUCACCAAGGCAACGAUCCGUAGCUGGUUUGAGAGGACGACCGGCCACACUGGAACUUGGACACGGCCCAGACUCCUACGGGAGGCAGCAGUGGGGAAUUUUGGACAAUGGGGGAAACCCUGAUACAGCCAUCCCGCGUGUAUGAGAAGGCCUUCGGGUUGUAAAGUACUUUUGGCAGAGAAGCGGUAUCUGCAGAAUAAGCACCGGCUAACUACGUGCCAGCAGCCGCGGUAAUAC